UACGGGGGGGGCAAGCGUUGUUCGGAAUUACUGGGCGUAAAGGGCUCGUAGGCGGCCAACUAAGUCAGACGUGAAAUCCCUCGGCUUAACCGGGGAACUACGUCUGAUACUGGAUGGCUUGAGUUUGGGAGAGGGAUGCGGAAUUCCAGGUGUAGCGGUGAAAUGCGUAGAUAUCGGAAGGAACUCCGGUGGCGAAAGCGACGUGCUGGACCUCUUCUGACGCUGAGGCGCGAAAGCUAGGGGAGCGAACGGG
rnacentral:rRNA from 1 species